CUUUUUUUUUAAAAUUUAUUUAUUUAUUUAUUUUUAUUGAUCAUUCUUGGGUGUUUCUCACAGAGGGGGAUUUGGCAGGGUCAUAGGACAAUAGUGGAGGGAGGGUCAGCAGAUAAACAAGUGAACAAAGGUCUCUGGUUUUCCUAUGCAGAGGACCCUGCGGCCUUCCGCAGUGUUUGUGUCCCUGGGUACUUGAGAUUAGGGAGUGGUGAUGACUCUUAACGAGCAUGCUGCCUUCAAGCAUCUGUUUAACAAAGCACAUCUUGCACCACCCUUAAUCCAUUUAACCCUGAGUGGACACAGCACAUGUUUCAGAGAGCACAGGGUUGGGGGUAAGGUCACCGAUCAACAGGAUCACAAGGCAGAAGAAUUUUUCUUAGUACAGAACAAAAUGAAAAGUCUCCCGUGUCUACCUCUUUCUACACACACAUGGCAACCAUCCGAUUUCUCAAUCCUUGCCCCGCCUUUCCCCCCUUUCUAUUCCACAAAACCGCCAUUGUCAUCAUGGCCCGUUCUCAAUGAGCUGUUGGGUACACCUCCCAGACGGGGUGGUGGCUGGGCAGAGGGGCUCCUCACUUCCCAGUAGGGGCGGCCGGGCAGAGGCGCCCCUCACCUCCCGGACGGGGCGGCUGGCCUGGCGGGGCUGACCCCCACCUCCCUCCCGGAUGGGGUGGCUGCCGGGCAGAGACGCUCCUCACUUCCCAGACGGGGUCACGGCCGGGUAGAGGCGCUCCUCACAUCCCAGACGGGGCGGCGGGGCAGAGGCGCUCCCCACAUCUCAGACGAUGGGCAGCCGGGCAGAGACGCUCCUCACUUCCUAGAUGGGAUGGCGGCCAGGCAGAGGCUGCAAUCUCGGCACUUUGGGAGGCCAAGGCAGGCGGCUGGGAGGUGGAGGUUGUAGCGAGCCGAGAUCACGCCACUGCACUCCAGCCUGGGCACCAUUGAGCACUGAGUGAACCAGACUCCGUCUGCAAUCCCGGCACCUCGGGAGGCCGGAGGCCGAGGCUGGCGGAUCACUCGCAGUUAGGAGCUGGAGACCAGCCCGGCCAACACAGCGAAACCCCGUCUCCACCAAAAAAAUACGAAAACCAGUCAGGCGUGGUGGCGCGCCUGCAAUCGCAGGCACUCGGCAGGCUGAGGCAGGAGAAUCAGGCAGGGAGGCUGCAGUGAGCCGAGAUGGCAGCAGUACAGUCCAGCUUCGGCUCGGCAUCAGUGGGAGACGGUGGAAAGAGAGGGAGAGGGAGACUGUGGGGAGAGGGAGAGGGAGAGGGGGGAGAGGGAGAGGGAGAGGGAGGAGCCAUAAUUCUUGUAUUUGGAAUCAGUCUAGUUCCCAAGAACUUCAGUUUGAUGCUCUUCAAGUUCUACCUUCACUAUAGGAUGUGGUUUUCAAGAUGAAAGUUACGACCCACCAAUGGGUUUUGAAAUAAAUUUAGUAGGCCACAACCAGUAUUUUUUUUAACAAAGGAAUCGAAUAGAAAAGAAAGUAUCAGGAUAUAUAACACAUGGCAAGGAUGAUAAUAUGUAAAACUUUGGUUUCAAAGACAAUAUGUGUGUCUAUUUAUAUAUCUAUUUCACACCAUAUAUGCUGACCUACACACCUACAUGUUUGUGUGUACUUGGUUAUGAUAAAAAUUCAUUAAAUGAUGGUAAAAAAAAGUUUGAAAAAACAAAUAAUUCAAUCUAAAAAUGAGAAAAGAAUCUCAAUAGACAUCUCUCAAAAGAAGGCCUACAAAUGGUCAACAAGAAUAUGAAAACAUGUUCAACAUCUCUAUUAGGGAAAUGUAAAUUAAAAUCACAUGAAAUAUCAUCCAACUCCCAUUAGAAUGGCUGCCAUCAGAAAAACAAAAUAACAACAGCAACAACAACAAAAAUCGAAUGUUGGUGAGGAUGUGGAGAAAAGGAAAUUCUUAUAUUACAUUCUUGGUAAGAAUGUAAAUUAGUACAGCCAUUAUAGAAAACAAUAUGGAGGUUUCUCAAAAACCUAAAAAUAUAACUACCAUAUGAUUCAGCAAUCCCACUACUUCCCCAAAGGGAAGGAAAUCAAUAUAUGGAAAAGACAUCUGCACUCCCAUGUUUAUUCCAGCACUAUUCACAAUAGCCAAGGUAUGGAGUCAACCUAAAUGUCCAUCAACAGAAGAAUGAAUAAAGAAAAUGUGGCAUGUAUACACAAUGGAGUACUAUUCAGCCAUAUAAAAGGAAUGAAAUUGGUUGGGGGGGCAUGGUGGCUUACGCCUGUAAUAGCAGCACUUUGGGAGGCCGAGGUGGGAGGAUCACCUGAGGUCAGGAGUUCAAGACCAACCUGACCAACGUGGAGAAACCCCAUCUCUACUAAAAAUACACAAUUAGCCAGGCGUGGUGGCACAUGCCUGUAAUCCCAGCUACUCGGGAGGCUGAGGCAGGAGAAUCACUUGAACCUGGGAGGCAGAGGUUGCGGUGAGCCGAGAUCACACCAUUGCACUCCAGCCUGGGCGACAAGAGCGAAACUCCGUCUCAGAAAAAAAAAAAGGAAUGAAAUCCUGAAUCCCGUCAUUUGUGACAACAUGGAUGAGCUUGGAGGACAUUAUGGUAAGUGAAAUAAACCAGGAACAGAAAAUAAAUACUGCAUGUUCUCUCUCAUACAUGAGAGCUAAAAAAAAGUUGGUGUCUAAGAAGCAGAGAGUAGACUAGUGGUUAUUAGAGGCUGGGAAGCAUAGUGGAGAGGUUGGUUAACAGACUUAACAGACACAAAAUUACAGAUAGAUAGGGGAAUAAGUUCUAAGUGUUCUAUAGAACUGUAGAGUGAAUAUAGUUAACAAUAUUUUAUUGUAUAUUUUUAAAAAUCUAGAAGAGAGGAUUUUGAACGUUCCCAACACAAAGAAAAGAUGAAUGUUUGCGGUAAUAGAUACGUCAAUUACCCUGAUUUGGUUAUUACGCAUUAUAUACAUGUAUUCAAAUAGUGCUCUGUAUCCCAUAACAUGUACAAUUAUUAUAUGUCAACUAAAAAUAAAAGAAAAAACAUUUGAAGGCUUGUGCUGUAUGUUUUGAGCCAUUCUAAUGCCUGAAUCACUUACAAAGAGAUGCAGAGCGUGAUGAAGCUAGUCUGUACUGGGAAAAGAAAUGGCUAGAGCCAAAAAAAGAAAGGGACUUAUGGAAGCAAACUCACAGUGGCUACUCUGCUCCCUACCAUUGCCUCUGACGAGUUGAGGUCCCCAGGAGGUCUCCUCAUACACAUCGUUCUUCCCUGAUUGCCUGUGAGAUAACUCUUUCCUUUCUUUCCUAUCUGUAUACACAGCAUGAGUUUCCAUAAGCUAAAUGGGACAUAACAUGAUUGAUUAACUAGGGGACAUGUGUAGACCCUCUUCUGACCCAUACAGAAGUAGAGUGUGUGGGCAGAGAGAAAGGCCUGUUGUGUAAGUGCCACAGCCUCUUUGUUGUGCUAAAAGCAAUGGAAAUGUCUAAGAAGUAUUGUGAUGGCCUAAGACGUCAUUCUUGAGCAAGAGCUAGAUGGAAUCACAUGCCAUAUUUUUACGUUUACAAUUUCAGUGUUCUAGCUAUAUACUUAAAACUAUAAACAAUGCUUUUGUUACAGAGAUUCCUGCAGUCCCCAUGCCCCUCUUUUUUUUGUUAACUGAAACAAAAGUAUGUAUAAUGCUGUUUUUGUUAAAGUAAGGUUGCCUGGGCACACCACCCUCACAUCAUUGCAGAACGCACUAAACUAGAGCCUGCCGUCGUUUGGGCCAACCCAACGGAAUUGCUCUCCCUUGUAAUCAUAAGGACCUAAAACUGAACAGGUAACAUACCCAACAUCUCAGAUUCAUUAUUUUUAAUGUAUUUUUUUUUGGUAGCUUUGGCAUGGGACAGUCACAUCAAAGGUGCUUGUUAUGACCUAAGCAAUCAUCAUCAAUAGCUGAUAACAUCCAAAGAGAGACACAACCAGACAUUAUGCACCUCCUGAUUAUAGUACAAAAGAAUGCAAACUAAGUCUGCACAACCUCCAGCUCUAAGUACCAAUGCCAAGGAAACACAGGAGAAAAGGAAACGUACUAAACCAUGUUAUUAUUGGAAUGCCAUUAACCAAAGCCAACAUGUGGGAGACUACCAGACAAGAAGAUUUAGUUCCUUUAACAGCAUCAACAACACAGCAAACAGGGAAAAAGAGGAUGGAGUUUUCAUGCCUCAGGGAUACUGAGGCAAAUAAACUGUCAGUAAAGAAAAGAGAGCAAGGUAGAAAGAGGCUAUUUAUAGGAGAAUCAGGAAAAUGUAAAUACUAAAUGAAUAUCUGAUACUAUUACAGAAUUAUUAAUAUUGGUUUUUAGGGAGCUGUGAUGAUUCUUAGGGAGGUGUCCUGAUGCUGCAUAGUUGCUUUUAAAAAGGGCACUCUUUGUCUUUUACAGAUCCACACUGAAACGUUUACUGAUGAAAUGCUCUCUAACAUCUGGGAUUUCCUUCAAAAUUAUCCGGGGCAGAGAGGGAGUGGGUACGGGCAGAGGAAAUAACAUAGGACAUAAGUUGAAAAUACUGAAGCUGAGUGAAGGGAGUUCAUUGUAAUACACUCCACACUUUGGUAUAUGUUUGAAAUUUUGCCUAAUAAAAAAAAUUCAGUGUCUAUUUUACAGAUGUAUUUGUCAUUUCAACAAACAUAUGUUGAAAUCAUGUUGCACAUUAGGGAUUGGAGACAUAUACACAAAUUAGCAUUCCGGCCAGACUGCUUAUCAUUACUUCUUAUUUCCUGUUUGUAAGAUGCCAUUCGUCUGGGCAAGGUAGCACAUGCUUGUAAUCCCAGAUUUUUGGGAGGCUGCAGUGGGACCAUCACUAGAGGUUAGCACUUGGAGACCAGCCUGGGCAACAUAGGGAGACAUCAUCUCUACAAAAAUAAAAGUAAAAAAAAUUAGCCAGGUGUGGUAUCAUGUGCCUAUAGACCCAGCUACUCAGGAGGAUGAGGUGGGAGGGUCCCUUGAGCCCAGGAGUUCAAGGCUGCAGUGAGCUAAGAAGAUGCCAGUGCGCUCCUCCCUGGGUGGCAGAGCGAGAACCUGUCUCUACAAAAUAAAAUAAAAUAAAAUGUCAUUUAUUUUAAGACACACAAUUAUAUUAAUUGCAGCUUUUGAAGUAUCCCGAAGGUCAAUGCUCACUUGGAGUGGGAGAGGGGAAAAAAAGCCCACCAUAUUAAAAUUAAACAUUGAUUUUGAGACACAUUCUAAUUUCAGACUAUCCAAACUAUAUAUCUUUAGAUCAAGGAAGAAUGGUGAUUCUUACUUUCUUUUGGCUCUAUGGUAAGUAUCUGGUUGUAAAGUCUGAGGGCAUCCUAAGGGAAAAUAUUGUGUCCAGUGUAACUGUGGUUUUGAUCCUAUAGUUUUUUCUUUCUUUUUUUUUUCUUCAGUGUGUCAGAAUCUAGCUAUCAAGUUGAAAUAGGUUAAUCUGAUCUUAUCACCAGCAGACGCAUCUCAGUCAUCUGGAAGAAAGUGCUGUUACAAGAAGUAACUCUGGGUAUGCGCUUCAGGAAUGCAGUUGUGGAAACCAUGUUUGCGGCUGCUUUAAACUGUUUCCCAGGAGUCAAGGAAAAUUCAACAAUCUGAGACCAAAAAGGUAUCUUCGGCACAGUCUUCCUUGGCACAGCCGUGGAGAACAGAGCCAGGGCUUUGAGUCAGAGGAAUUGGGUUGAAACCUGCCUGUAUUGGUUGCAACCUGGUGACCUUGGAUAUCCUUUUUAUUCUCUGAGCCUUAUAUACCCCCUGGAUAAAAUAUAUCUGAUGAAACCUGCUGUUGCAUGUUCUGGGAUUUAAAUGAAUAACACCGUACCUAAAGCAUUUGGUGCAGGGUUAGGACGUGUAGAAGCUUAAGUUGUUAUUCUUCUUCUUAACAUUUUCCUGGAACUCCGGUGAGGCUCCCCGAGCAUGGGACUUUUUAGCUCCGUCUGACGACUGAUCCCUGCAGUUAACUGAUCAUUCUACAAAGCCACCAUUUGCUGAAUCCAUUGCCAAAGAAUCGAUACAGGUGAUAUCUCAGCCCAAGCUGCUAUAUCAAAAUACUAUUGACUGAGUGGCUUAAGCCACAGACAUUUAUUUCUUACAGUUGUGGAGGCUGGGAAGCCCAAGAUGAAAGUGCUGGCAGAUCCUGUGUCUAGUGAGGGCUGUCUUCCUGGUUGGCAGAUAGCCGUCUUCUUGCUGUAUCCUCGCAUGGUGGAGAGAGAGAUCUCAUGUUUCUCCAUUUCUUUAAUGAGGGCAUUCAGCCCAUCAUGAGGGCCCCACCCUCACCCUCAUGACUUAAUCUAACCCAGCCCCUACCUCCAAGUACCAUGAGGGUUAGGGUUUCAGCAUAUAAAUUGAGGGGAGGAAGACACAAACACUUAGUCUAUAGCAGGUGAAUUGGCUGCUUCCAUCCUGGCUUGGAACUUCAGACAUAGAAGCCUUGGGACUUUCUCAGGACUUUCUCCAGAUCUGACUCAUGCUCAGCAAACAAGCAUCUCUGUGGAUCACGUGACCUUAGCCAGGGAUGUUGGUGAAACUGUGUGUUGGUCUAGGUACCUAGCCCAUGCUAGGUGCUCAUCGAAUAGCUUUAGUGGGUGACUGUGACUGAAGAGGCAUCCUGGGCUGUGCUUUCACACCACCAGUGCCAAUGCUAUGCAUUUGCUCUUUUUCUAGCAUUUUUUUUUUUUUUUUUUUUUGAGAUGGAAUCUUGCUCUGUCUCCCAGGCUGGAGUGCAGUGGCAUGAUCUUGGCUCACUGCAACCUCUGCCUCCCAGGUUCAAGCAAUUCUCCUGCCUCAGUCUCCCAAGUAGCUGGGAUUACAGAUGUGCACUACCAUGCCCUACUGAUUUUUGUAUUUUUAGUAGAGACGGGGUUUCACCGUGUUGGCCAGGCUGGUCUUGAACUCCCGACCUUAGGUGAUCCACCCACCUCGGCCUCCCAAAGUGCUGGGAUUACAGGCAUGAGCCACCGUGCCUGGCCUUUAGGAUGUUUAUAUGCUCUCUAUGCACCAUGAUAUUUGCGCCCUGGCGGAGCAGUCUCAGUUCCACUUCUGAGCUGGGAUGAGUAUUUAGCUCCUUCCCCAUCUGAUGCGAACUAGGCAACACUACAGAGCCAGAGGCAGAAAACAGGAGGGCUUCUCACCUGUCCUUGUCCAUGAAUAGCCAGUGCUCUGCUGAGGACUCCAGGAACCCACUCUUCAUGAUCAGCCUCAAUUGGCAGUGGCCAUCUCCUCUGGCAGCAAGCACAAGUGGACUUCUCUUCCUGCCCACAUCUGCUAGAUGAGGGUGACCCUCUGGAGAGAGGCUGGGAGAAGCUAGCCAGCCUGUAACCAGUGGGCUAGUGUGUGUACAUAUUGUAUGCAUGCUGGGGGACAGAAGAGGGUGUGGGGAAGGGCAACUUGCUUUCCCCAGGUGAAGGAGUAAGGAAAUGUUUCCUUCCCAACCUUCUUUCUAGACCAGCUAAUACUCCAGUUUCACCCUUUGGGCAAGUCAUUUAUCUGUCUGAGCCUGAACUUCCUCAUGUAUAUGAAAGAUGGAGAAGACCAUUGUAGAAAUUCAUGUUAUUAGUAUUCCAAGCAAAAGAGCUAAAGGUUGGUCUCUCAAAUUCCUACCCCUUUGAAGACCGAUGGAUAAGAUUCUUUAAGUUUGCUGCAGGUGAUUAACUAUGCAAGGGCUAAAGACAGCAGAACUCUUGCCAAAGUAGCGUGCCACGGUAAUUCUGCCAUGACCUAUGUAAGCAGAAAUGGGUGGAUAAAUAGUUGCAGACUAUCUACAGAUUUCCGUCUUCCAAGUCUUCCAGGCAGAGGCUACAAAAUAAAAUACCCUUAAGAGCCAGGCAGGUAAUGAGAAUGAGUGGUGCAUGCCGGGGGUUUGCAUAGUAAAUAUUAGCACUAUUCCUUGCUUCCACAAAGGCGCUUUCUGCACUUGCUGGUAAAACACACAGUCCUCUGGGUAUAUGUUUUGUUUUCUCACAUUUUGUAGAUUCAUGAGCACAGAGAAAUAUUUCUGCACUACAAGCAAAACACUAAAAUAUAGGCUGAAGUAGCAACAGUGGAAGGAGCCCUGGAGAAUUGGGAAGCAUGUACUCUACCCAAAGAGGACCUAAGCUGUGCAACUCCAGCUCACCGUUCAGGGAGGGGAGUAAUGUGGGCCCAGUGUAGCCAGAACCUCUACUUCUUUAUUUAAAAGAAGCUGGAAAUCCAGAUUUUUAAAAACGUAGAGUCUCCUGCUUUUGCUGUUUUUCUUUUUCUUCUUUUUCCCUUUUAAUGGUGCACAUGUAUUUUUUAAAACUUUGUGCACACGAAAUAAAACCCACCUCCUGGUGGCCUGUCUGCCUCUUACCUUCCACAUACCACACUGAAUUUUGAAGGGUUCUCGCUGAAUUGCUCCAAAUCUGACAUUCUGGGUAACCCUCCUCAUGCAGCUGGGAGCCUUUGGAAUCUUCACAACCAGGAGGGCUGUGUCUUUGACCUUGAUUUAGGCCUUGUGUCUUCAGGGCAUGCCAAGGGGCCGGUGCAGGCUGGACAGAGGUGUGAUCUCCUUUUCUCAGCAUAAUUUCCUUCCUGGGGUCUUCAUAUCGCCCUGAGGCAGGAGCUGGGGUGCUGGCUCCUUCUGAAGGUCGCUUUUCUGGCCUUUGCCUGGGUGGAGAUUAGAGAAGAAAGGUGAUCCUGGAAACCUGACCAGCUUCCCGAGAGAGAUGAUAGGAGAAUAGCGCUGGGUGAGCCAUUGAGACAUCUGGGCCAAGUCCUUCAUUUUACAGACAAACAAGCUGAGAUGCAGGAAGCCACAGCAUCUUAUCUGGGUCCCCAGUUCAUCAGCAACAGCUAAGGGGUGAGAUCCCAUGUUUCCCACCCCACCACCCGAUGCUUCAUCCACUGUGCUUUUUGGCCUCUGCCUCCACCAAGUACACUCAGCCCCUCCCAGCCAUCUCUGGAGUUUAGUUGGGAUUUGAACUGACUGAAUGAUGGGACUUUAGUACUAAGCCUGGGGACCUAGGCAAGGCCAGAGGAAAAGCUGACGAAGGGAGAGGAAGAAUCAGAAACACUCAUUUUCCUCUGGCUGUGAGCAGAAUUCACCUGAGAUGCACCCGGAAACGGGUCUGUUGCUUAUUUUGUCACCAGGGUCUGGGGUUGCCCAUGUCCACAGAGCCUAUCAGGUCAUGAGGGACAGACCUAGCAGUAGCAUUUCCAUGGCUCUCUACCAAUUUUCACUGGUCCGUUGCUUGAUAUUCAAAUGAGCACCUUUCUCACUGCCAGUGAAGGGGCUGCUCCCCUGUGGAAGGUAUCCUGACAGGGAAAGCUUGGCUUAAAGAAUUGCUUGUCCUGUGAUUUCUGACCUAUGAUUUGCUAUUUAAUCCUAAGUAGCUAUUUUUUUAAUCAAAAGUUUCAAGUUUCUCCCAAC
rnacentral:lncRNA from 1 species